rnacentral:rRNA from 1 species
CACCUGUUUAACAAAAACAUGGCCUAUUGAGUAUAAUUUUAGGUCGAUCUGCUCCAUGAAUAAAUUUAAAUAGCUGCAGUAUAUUGACUGUACAAAGGUAGCAUAAUAAAUUGUCUUUUAAUUGAAGAAUUGAAUGAAUGAAUUGAUGAAAUAACAACUGUCUCUAUUUUAUUUAAUGAAUUUAAAUUUUUAGUAAAAAUUCUGAAAUUUAAUUAUGGGACGAUAAGACCCUAUAGAAUUUUAUUUAAUAUAAUUAUUUAUUUAAAUUAUUUGUGAAUAUUAAUUAAUUUAAAUUUGAUUGGGAGGAUUGGUAAAUAAAAAUAACUUUAUCUAAAAAUUAAUUUUGAUGAAAAGAUAUUUUUUUGACUUAUAAUUUAUGAUUAAAAGAAUAAAUUACCUUAGGGAUAACAGCGUAAUAUCUUUUGAUAGACCACAUUGAUAAAGAUGUUUGCGACCUCGAUGUUGAAUUAAGAGAAAAGUUAAACGCAGGAGUUUAAAAUUUUAAGUCUGUUCGAUCAUUAAAAUCUU